UCCCUGAUAUCUUAGCUGGUAAAGAAUCUGCCUGCAAUGCAGGAACCCCUGGUUUGAUUCCUGGGUCUGGAA
rnacentral:tRNA from 1 species